rnacentral:rRNA from 1 species
AACGAACGCUGGCGGCGUGGAUAAGACAUGCAAGUCGAACGCUGACUUGAGGGUAGCAAUAUUCUCAAGUCGGAGUGGCGAAAGGGUGCGUAACACGUGGGCAAUCUGCCAUGAAGUUGGGGAUAACUUGCUGAAAGGCGAGCUAAUACCGAAUGUGGAUCUCGAAAGGCAUCUUGUGAGAUCUAAAGCUGGGGACCGUAAGGCCUGGCGCUUCUUGUUGAGCCCGCGGCCUAUCAGCUAGUUGGUGAGGUAACGGCUCACCAAGGCUAAGACGGGUAGCUGGUCUGAGAGGACGACCAGCCACACUGGAACUGAGACACGGUCCAGACACCUACGGGUGGCAGCAGUCGAGAAUUUUUCUCAAUGGGCGAAAGCCUGAAGGAGCGACGCCGCGUGGGGGAUGAAUGGCUUCGGCCCGUAAACCCCUGUCAUUUGCGAACAAACCUCGUCAUUUAAUAGAUGACGGGCUGAUUGUAGCGAAAGAGGAAGGGAC